rnacentral:misc_RNA from 1 species
GAUGAAGAACGUAGCGAAAUGCGAUAACUAAUGUGAAUUGCAGAAUUCCGUGAAUCAUCGAGUCUUUGAACGCACAUUGCGCCCCCUGGUAUUCCGGGGGGCAUGCCUGUCCGAGCGUCAUUGCUGCCCUCAAGCACGGCUUGUGUGUUGGGCCCCCGUCCCCGGUUUCCCCCGGGGACGGGCCCGAAAGGCAGCGGCGGCACCGCGUCCGGUCCUCGAGCGUAUGGGGCUUUGUCACCCGCUCUGUAGGCCCGGCCGGCGCCAGCCGACACCCAACUUUAUUUCUAAGGUUGACCUCGGAUCAGGUAGGGAUACCCGCUGAACUUAAGCAUAUCAAUAAGCGGAGGA